UACAGAGGGUGCAAGCGUUGUUCGGAUUUACUGGGCGUAAAGCGUGCGUAGGCGGCAUUGAGAGUCGCGGGUGAAACCCCCAAGCUUAACUUGGGAACUGCCUGCGAGACCUCAAUGCUAGAGUGUGAGAGGGGAUGGUGGAAUUCCUGGUGUAGCGGUGAAAUGCGUAGAUAUCAGGAGGAACACCGGCGGCGAAGGCGGCCAUCUGGCUCACAACUGACGCUCAGGCACGAAAGCGUGGGGAGCAAACAGG
rnacentral:rRNA from 1 species